rnacentral:rRNA from 1 species
UACGUAGGGGGCGAGCGUUGUCCGGAUUUAUUGGGCGUAAAGAGCGUGUAGGCGGCCAGGUAGGUCUGCUGUGAAAACUCGAGGCUCAACCUCGAGACGUCGGCGGAAACCAUCUGGCUAGAGUCCGGAAGAGGAGAGUGGAAUUCCCGGUGUAGCGGUGAAAUGCGCAGAUAUCAGGAAGAACACCCGUGGCGAAGGCGGCUCUCUGGGACGGUACUGACGCUGAGACGCGAAAGCGUGGGGAGCGAACAGG